rnacentral:rRNA from 1 species
CAGGCCUAACACAUGCAAGUCGAGGGGCAGCGCGGGGUAGCAAUACUCUGGCGGCGACCGGCGAAAGGGUGAGUAACGCGUGAGCAACGUGCCCGUAUGUGGGGGAUAGUCGAUGGAAACGUCGCGUAAUACCCCGUAACACACGGUCUCGCAUGGGACUGUGUUGAAAGAUUGAUUGCAUACGGAUCGGCUCGCGUGCCAUUAGGUAGACGGCGGGGUAACGGCCCACCGUGCCGACGAUGGCUAGGGGUUCUGAGAGGAAGGUCCCCCACAUUGGUACUGAGACACGGACCAGACUCCUACGGGAGGCAGCAGUGAGGAAUAUUGGUCAAUGGGCGAGAGCCUGAACCAGCCAAGUAGCGUGCAGGAAGACGGCCCUAUGGGUUGUAAACUGCUUUUAUCAGGGGAUAAAGUGAGGGACGUGUCCCUUAUUGCAGGUACCUGAUGAAUAAGGACCGGCUAAUUCCGUGCCAGCAGCCGCGGUAAUACGGAAGGUCCAGGCGUUAUCCGGAUUUAUUGGGUUUAAAGGGAGCGCAGGCGGGCGUUUAAGCGUGCUGUGAAAUGCCGCGGCUCAACCGUGGAAGUGCAGCGCGAACUGGAUGUCUUGAGUGAGUACGACGCGGACGGAAUUCGUGGUGUAGCGGUGAAAUGCUUAGAUAUCACGAAGAACCCCGAUUGCGAAGGCAGUCCGCGAGUCCUUUACUGACGCUAAAGCUCGAAGGUGCGGGUAUCGAACAGGAUUAGAUACCCUGGUAGUCCGCACGGUAAACGAUGGAUGCCCGCUGUUGGCGAUAUACGGUCAGCGGCCAAGAGAAAUCGUUAAGCAUCCCACCUGGGGAGUACGCCGGCAACGGUGAAACUCAAAGGAAUUGACGGGGGCCCGCACAAGCGGAGGAACAUGUGGUUUAAUUCGAUGAUACGCGAGGAACCUUACCCGGGCUUGAACUGCAGAGGAAGGAUCUGGAGACAGUGACGCCCUUCGGGGCCUCUGUGGAGGUGCUGCAUGGUUGUCGUCAGCUCGUGCCGUGAGGUGUCGGCUUAAGUGCCAUAACGAGCGCAACCCUUUUCGCCAGUUGCCAUCAGGUGAUGCUGGGCACUCCGGCGAUACUGCCACCGUAAGGUGUGAGGAAGGUGGGGAUGACGUCAAAUCAGCACGGCCCUUACGUCCGGGGCUACACACGUGUUACAAUGGGUGGUACAGAGAGUCAGCGGCCGGCAACGUCCGCUCAAUCAUGAAAGCCAUCCUCAGUUCGGAUUGGGGUCUGCAACCCGACCCCAUGAAGCUGGAUUCGCUAGUAAUCGCGCAUCAGCCAUGGCGCGGUGAAUACGUUCCCGG